AUACGGAGGGUGCAAGCGUUACUCGGAAUCACUGGGCGUAAAGCGCGCGCAGGCGGUCUUUUAAGUUGGAUGUGGAAGCCUACGGCUCAACCGUAGAACUGCAUCCAAAACUAUUAGACUAGAGUGUGGGAGAGGAAGAUGGAAUUAGUUGUGUAGGGGUAAAAUCCGUAGAGAUAACUAGGAAUACCAAAAGCGAAGGCAAUCUUCUGGAACACUACUGACGCUGAGGCGCGAAAGCGUGGGGAGCAAACAGGAUUAGAAACCCCAGUAGUCC
rnacentral:rRNA from 1 species